ACGUAGGGUGCGAGCGUUAAUCGGAAUUACUGGGCGUAAAGUGUGCGCAGGCGGCCCCGCAAGUCGAGUGUGAAAUCCCCGAGCUUAACUUGGGAAUGGCGCUCGAAACUACGGGGCUCGAGUGUGGCAGAGGGAGGUGGAAUUCCACGUGUAGCGGUGAAAUGCGUAGAGAUGUGGAGGAACACCAAUGGCGAAGGCAGCCUCCUGGGUCAACACUGACGCUCAUGCACGAAAGCGUGGGGAGCAAACAGGAUUAGAUACCCUGGUAGUCCACGCCCUAAACGAUGAUGACUAGUUGUUGGAGGAGUUAAAUCCUUUAGUAACGCAGCUAACGCGAGAAGUCAUCCGCCUGGGGAGUACGGUCGCAAGAUUA
rnacentral:rRNA from 1 species